AUUUGUGAUGUAGGGUGUAGUUGGAGUCUAGCGGGUGUUCCUAGAUUGACACAAGAUGUCAGGAGCUGUGAAGUUACCCUGCAGCACUUUGACUUUUGUCUCAGCUUUCUUUCAGAUGCACACGGAUGAAAUCAGUGGCAGAGCGCCCCAUCCAGGGUAAGGGGGUUCCCCUGAGAAGGAAGUGAAGCCGGCUAUCAGCAGUCAAGGCAAAGCGGGCAAGGCGGUCCAGUCGCGUUUCGCUGAGACGUCCUCGCCAACCGGCUGGCACAGCUGCUUUACCACUCCUGUGAGCCCUGCGGAAGCAUUACGGGACCGUGUGACGGAGCCUUUUCCACAUAAUGGGGCCGUG